CUCAGGACGAACGCUGGCGGCACGCCUAACACAUGCAAGUCGAGCGGAGAUUGAGAGCUUGCUCUCAUGAUCAGCGGCGGACGGGUGAGUAACACGUGAGCAACCUGCCUUUCAGGAGGGGGACAACAGUUGGAAACGACUGCUAAUACCGCAUAAUAUUGCCGGCCGGCAUCGGCUGGCAAUCAAAGGAGCAAUCCGCUAGAAAGAGUGGGCUCGCGUCUGAUUAGAUAGUUGGUGAGGUAACGGCCCACCAAGUCGACGAUCAGUAGCCGGACUGAGAGGUUGAUCGGCCACAUUGGGACUGAGACACGGCCCAGACUCCUACGGGGAGGCAGCAGGUGGGGGAUAUUGGACAAUGGGGGAAACCCUGAUCCAGCGAUGCCGCGUGAGGGAAGAAGGUUUUCGGAUUGUAAACCUCUGUGGACAGGGACGAUAAUGACGGUACCUGUUUAGAAAGCCACGGCUAACUACGUG
rnacentral:rRNA from 1 species